rnacentral:ncRNA from 2 species
AUGAUCCUCACUGGAGAGAGUCCGGAGGCUGGCACCACGUGGCAGCGAGUCGGGCCACCGAAGGGGCAAGCCCACAACGCCGCAACCAGGUUGCCGCGAGGGGUCAAUCUCUCAGGUAAAGCGGACAGAGAGGGCAGC